rnacentral:rRNA from 1 species
GGAGGAAAGCAGGGGAUCGUAAGACCUUGCGCUUUUGGAGCGGCCGAUGUCUGAUUAGCUAGUUGGUGAGGUAAAGGCUUACCAAGGCGUCGAUCAGUAGCUGGUCUGAGAGGACGACCAGCCACACUGGGACUGAGACACGGCCCAGACUCCUACGGGAGGCAGCAGUGGGGAAUUUUGGACAAUGGGGGAAACCCUGAUCCAGCCAUGCCGCGUGAGUGAAGAAGGCCUUCGGGUUGUAAAGCUCUUUCAGCCGGAACGAAACGGUCACGGCUAAUACCUGUGACUACUGACGGUACCGGAAGAAGAAGCACCGGCUAACUACGUGCCAGCAGCCGCGGUAAUACGUAGGGUGCGAGCGUUAAUCGGAAUUACUGGGCGUAAAGCGUGCGCAGGCGGUUUUGUAAGUCAGAUGUGAAAUCCCCGGGCUUAACCUGGGAACUGCGUUUGAAACUACAAAGCUAG